UCCAGCUCGUCGCUGGCAGUCCCCGCAGAGUGCUCGGCAUCCUUUCGGACCCGGUCGCAACAGCGAGCAAUGGUUGCGCUCGUUUUGGCACUUAAGCCAACACCUCACGGCACGAGCUGACGACAGCCAUGCAGCACCUGUGCAAGCUCUCGACUGGUUACGAGUCGUCCCCCUUUCAGGUUCCUACUUCUUGCAUGUCAAGCCUGGGUAAGGUUCUUCGCGUAGCAUCGAAUUGAACCACAUGUUCCACCGCUUGUGCUGGCCCCCGUCAAUUCCUUUGAGUUUUAAUCUUGCGACCGUACUCCCCAGGCGGGGCACUUAAUGCGUUAGCUGCGGCACCCAGGGGGUCAAUACCCCGGACACCUAGUGCCCAUCGUUUACAGCGUGGACUAC
rnacentral:misc_RNA from 1 species